UACGUAGGGGGCAAGCGUUAUCCGGAUUUACUGGGUGUAAAGGGAGCGUAGACGGCAUGGCAAGUCAGAUGUGAAAGCCCGGGGCUCAACCCCGGGACUGCAUUUGAAACUGUCAGGCUGGAGUGCAGGAGAGGUAAGCGGAAUUCCUAGUGUAGCGGUGAAAUGCGUAGAUAUUAGGAGGAACACCAGUGGCGAAGGCGGCUUACUGGACUGUAACUGACGUCGAGGCUCGAAAGCGUGGGGAGCAAACAGG
rnacentral:rRNA from 1 species